ACUGGCUGUGAUGACACACUUGCCCUCACUGAGGUCAGGCUUGAUUGAGACAUUUUGUGUACCUGAGCCACA